rnacentral:rRNA from 1 species
AAGGAAUAUUGGUCAAUGGACGCAAGUCUGAACCAGCCACGCCGCGUGGAGGAUGAAGGCCCUUGGGUUGUAAACUCCUGUCGGCUGGGAAGAAAUCAUACGGUGCUCAUACCACCGUGUGUUGACUGUACCAGCAAAGGAAGCCCCGGCUAACUCUGUGCCAGCAGCCGCGGUAAUACAGAGGGGGCCAGCGUUAUUCGGAAUUAUUGGGCGUAAAGGGCGCGUAGGCGGCCAUGCGUGUCUUCCGUGAAAUCCCUCGGCUUAACUGAGGACGUGCGGAAGAAACUGCAAGGCUCGAGUCCGGGAGAGGGGGGUGGAAUUCCCAGUGUAGCGGUGAAAUGCGUAGAUAUUGGGAGGAACACCGGUGGCGAAGGCGGCCCCCUGGACCGGUACUGACGCUGAGGCGCGAAAGCGUGGGUAGCAAAC